UAGAGCUGAGUGGAGAGAAUGUGGACACUGUGGGACUGUUCAAACUAGUAAUUCAAGAGAAAUGAAUAGAAUACUGAUUCAAACAGUAUUGAGGUGUGCUUUAUUAGUGUUUAAUGGUUUUAGUAAACCAUGUUUUUUUGUUCACCUGUGGAUGUUUGUGUGUACUUGUUGGGAGGGGGUUUGGAAAGAGAGCGUCUGCAUCUUUAAAUGGUCACCAUGUGCCAAUGUGCUUAAACUGAAGAGGGCUGCUGUCAUCUGGUGAAUCAUUCUGAGGGUGGUGUUUAAGUCAGGCCAGCAAGUACAAGCAUGUUCUCGUACCUCACUUAUAGCCCCCCAUGAGAACAUGAUGGGUCACAGAUUCACAGCAGCGUGUAAGAUGUGACAUCUGUCAGCAAAUGAAGAAAUGAUUUGCAGCCUUCAAUUCCAAACCACUAUUUGCCUGUCAAAAUAGAGGAGCUUGCUUUCACAAGCCUGCCCAGCUGUCAACGUCAUCUGACUUUUUGGGCUCAUCUGAUAUGACGCAUGACUGAACACACUCAAUGUUGGGUGGGUCGUGGGCACUGAAUCAACAGGUGGCCAUUCAAACGAGACUGGCAUUUAUACAUUUCCUCGAAGAGAUACGUUUGUUGGAGGAUGAAUUCCCCAGUGACAAGGUCAUUCACCUCCAGUGAACAUCUAGAACAUCCCUUCUGCUGGUCUUGUGUUAACUGAGCCUUGAGCAUAUCUAAUUAAACAGGAGGUAUAUUGUUGUGUUCCAAGUCAGAGCAUUGGAAUGUUGUUCUAAAGGCCCUUGGUGCCCAGAGAACAUUUAUUCAUUGAAGUGAAUAUGUGCGCUGCUUUAUGUAGUCUGAUGAUCACAUGAUUGGCCGGCUAACAGUGGCUGCUCGUUUCCCCGCCGGCCUUGGUUCUUUGGUCUGUUUGUGUUGGGGUGUGUCAGUGAAAUGAUAAAUGAGAUUUAUGAUACCAAGCGCAAAAAUUUAAAUUGCUGUAAUCCACAGGAAUGUUGCAUCAGGUUAUCCAUCUGCUGUAACUGUACUGUAUUGUGAAAUAUAAAUGCAUUUUUCUGA